UAGGGAAUCUUCGGCAAUGGGGGGAACCCUGACCGAGCAACGCCGCGUGAGUGAAGAAGGUUUUCGGAUCGUAAAGCUCUGUUGUUAAGGAAGAACGAGUGUGAGAAUGGAAAGUUCAUGCUGUGACGGUACUUAACCAGAAAGGGACGGCUAACUACGUGCCAGCAGACGCGGUAAUACGUAGGUCCCGAGCGUUGUCCGGAUUUAUUGGGCGUAAAGCGAGCGCAGGCGGUUAGAAAAGUCUGAAGUGAAAGGCAGUGGCUCAACCAUUGUAGGCUUUGGAAACUGUUUAACUUGAGUGCAGAAGGGGAGAGUGGAAUUCCAUGUGUAGCGGUGAAAUGCGUAGAUAUAUGGAGGAACACCGGUGGCGAAAGCGGCUCUCUGGUCUGUAACUGACGCUGAGGCUCGAAAGCGUGGGGAGCGAACAGG
rnacentral:rRNA from 1 species